GCCCCCCCCGUUCACCUUAGGGCCCCCCCGUUCACCCCGGGGCCCCUCCGGGGUGUGCUGUGGGUCUUCAGGGACCUGGAGGACUUGUGUCUCCAGCCAUCCUGUCCACAGAGUAGCUCCCUGUGUGCCACCCGGCCUCCUCCCGUCUCGCCUCACCCUUGCCCUUGCCUCACCUGGCCCUUCUGGGGUCCCGGUAGUCCCGGCGUUUCCAGAAUGUGGAUACUUGGCGGCAGACACUCUGCAGCCUUUUCAGCCUGGCUUCCCGCGCUUGGGAAUCGGCGUUGAGGCUUCAUCUGGGCCUUUUCAGGCACCAUCCAUUUGUUUCAUCCAUCGUGUAACAGUAGUGGGAAACCUGAGACACUAAAGCCCGGGAAAAAAAAUGAAUGAUGCAGCUCACCAGAGACUACGUAGCUAGAGAAUGGCCAAACUGGGUUUCGAAUCUAGGCGAUCUUGACACCCCCUCCCCUAGGGCCCUCCGGCUUAAAGGCAUGCAGUGAGAGAGAGAGGCAGAGACACAGGCAGAGGGAGAAGCAGGCUCCAUGCACCGAGAGCCCGACGCGGGAUUCGAUCCCGGGUCUCCAGGAUCGCGCCCUGGGCCAAAGGCAAGCGCCAAACCGCUGCGCCACCCAGGGAUCCCUCAUGAGCAUUUUAAAAUCCUAGUCUCCUGUUCUCAGAAGCCCUACCAGAAGCCGUAACAGGCUCCCCUAACUACCAUCAUGCCUGACACACACUGCUGGAGGGCUUGAUGACUCUUUAUGGAAGAUGUAUUUAUU